rnacentral:rRNA from 1 species
CUGACCUCAAAUCGGGUGAGACUACCCGCUGAACUUAAGCAUAUCAAUA